ACGAAAUAGCUAAAAAAAGUUAUUAAUAAAUAAUAGAAAAGAAAAACCGAAAGAAAAAAAGAAAAGCAAAUGAAAAAGAGAAAAAAUAGAACAAAAAUAGAAAACAAAAAAGAGUAAACUGAUAAGAAAAAAAAAAAAGAGAAAGUAAAGAAAUUGAAGAAACAAAAAUGAAAAAGAACUUAAUAAAAUGUGUAGGUGGAGUCACUCUUCCCCUACAUCUGUUUUUAGAUUGAAAUUUUAUUUUUCAGAUUUCGAAUCAAGGCUCAGGUUGUUAUUGGUCGAAUUUAUGAAGACCGACGUCCGACGUCAGUAGAAAUAAAGUUCAGUGACAACUCCGACCAUUUUUUAUCCACAAUCACCUAAAAGAAAAAUAAAAAAAACUUCCUUGGUUAGACUCCUUUUCCAUUAAUUUCACAAUCAGGUAAAAAG
rnacentral:lncRNA from 1 species